rnacentral:rRNA from 1 species
UACAGGGGGGGCAAGCGUUGUUCGGAAUUACUGGGCGUAAAGGGUUCGUAGGUGGCCAACUAAGUCAGACGUGAAAUCCCUCAGCUUAACUGGGGAAUUGCGUCUGAUACUGGAUGGCUUGAGUGUAGGAGAGGAAUGCGGAAUUCCAGGUGUAGCGGUGAAAUGCGUAGAUAUCUGGAGGAACACCGGUGGCGAAGGCGGCAUUCUGGACUACAACUGACACUGAGGAACGAAAGCCAGGGGAGCAAACGGG